UACACUUAUUCCUCGCUGCCGCUUGUAAUAAUCCCUCCGAAGCUGAGGAUGAAAUUGGUUUCUCCGUGAUCUCUCUUUCCACCCUGGGUGAUCCCCAUAGGAUUCUUCACAAGGACGCAAAUCUUUGUCGGGGUUCAUUGGUGGCUGUGGUUUUCCUGCCCAGCCCACUACCACUGGGCCGUAGAUGAGAUGGAUAUCUUGUCCAGCCCGCUGCCACUGGACCAUUUCUGCAGGGCCCAUCUAUCACCCCAUCUUGCAGUGUGGAGCCUCGAGUUCUCCAAAUGUCCAGAUCGCAGCUGUCACUGAGCAGUUGCAUCUGUUACACAGUAAAGGAGUCCUAGAGAAGUGCUGCCAAGGGGAACUCAUAAAAAAGCCGCUGCUGGAGACUCAGAUGUGCCCUGCUGAGCGAGGCAGUCUCCUCCUACUUACCGUGCUGCAGUGAGCCGCAGUCACCCGCGGGGGAGUUGAAGAAUAAGUUGAAUAUGGUUGAACACGGUGGCAUCAUACUGCUCAGCCAUCUCUGGGGUUAACUGCAGAUGAGAUAAUUCCUGUAUAACUCCUGGAUCCUCUAGGGCAUUCUGCCACUGUAUCCACACUUCAUGGUACAAGGGCGAAUGGACAGAUCUCCAGCUUCCAAGUGAAACGUGAAGGCGACUCGACAAGGAUUUCUGUUAGGACAAUAGUUUUGCUUCAUGAAGACCAGGAAGGCUUGAACUCAGGACAAUGGGUAUCUUGAAUUUACUCAGUUCCCAUCUCUUAAGUUAUUAAACAUUAUUUCCCACCUGUCUUGUGUAUUUUUGCUUGAUCCCUAUAAUAUGGGGGCAGGCAUAAUUUUGUAUAACCCCUGUAAGACGUGUGCCAGGUACAAUUGGCCCUAUUUCCUAUGUGGGGAAACUGAGACUCAGAGCAGAGAAGCGACUCUCCUAAGUCACACGUUGUAUUGCUGGCAGAGUCUCGGGCAGGAGUCGUGCCUCCUGAUUUCCAGGUACAUGCUGCUUUUGCUAGAACCAAUCUAUUAAAGAACCAAGACUCUUUUAUUUGGAAUUAAUGAGGGAUUCCAAAAAUAGUGUUAGCAGUGCUUAACAAAUUUGAAAGAGCAAAGGAACUGAAGCCAGAGAAGACUGAGAUAGGGGAGCUGUUUCAUUGUAUCAAUUUCUAUUCACUUUGUUAAUAAUUGAUGCCACAUUUACUCAUUGUUAUAUAUUAAAAAUACUUGAUUUGCUACAAGGUAAAAAUGACCCAUUGACUUUGUCUCUCAACCUACGCUAACCCUAAAUGAGAAUCUCAUUGUGACCACGAUUUUGCAAAAUUGAUUAAAUGGAAAUAAAUGCAUUCAAGUGUCAAAGGCUGCAUUGGGAAUGGUUGCUAAUGAGCUUGACCUUUCAGAGCUUCCUGGCUGGGUGCACAGUAGGUGUUCAAUGAGUACUGAUGGAUGUCUUGACUGACUGAGAUUUCGGUUAGCCUUCCAUCCCCGGGAGCAUGGUGCCUCUAAUGUGUUAGAUGGCAUCAUGUUCCAAAAAUGAAUCGAUCUAUAAAUUUGAAGACUAAUUUGGAAACAUUUUAACCUUACUAAACAGAAUAGUAUGAUAAAACCUAGGUACCCUACGCCAGCUUCAAAUCAAUAUUCUGCUGUUUUUGUUUACUUCCCUUAACACACAUCACUGCCUCCCCACCCCCAACACACACACACUUUUUUGUUUUUGAGACAGAGUCUCGCUCUGUCACCGAGGCUGGGGUGUAGUGGCGCCAUCUCGGCUCACUGCAAGCUCCGCCUCCUGGGUUCAUGCCAUUCUCCUGUCUCGGCCUCCCAGUCUCCAGAGUAGCUGGGACUUCAGGUGUCCACUUUUUUUUUUUUUUUUUGGCUGAAGUACCAUAAAGGAAAUUUCAAACAUUGUGUCAUUCACCUGUGAAUAAAUCUGUAUGUACCUCCAAUAGAUAGACUAAAAAAACCACAACCUUAUCACCACAACACAAUUAGCCAUUGUUUCUUAAUAUCAUAGGAGGCCUCUUCCAUGCUGAAUGCUCCAU
rnacentral:lncRNA from 10 species